rnacentral:lncRNA from 1 species
AUCAACACAAACUGAGAAAGUACUCAGCUGCAUAUGCAACAAGGCAUAGCUUCUAUUGAAGUUUGGUAAUAGUACUGCGUACCAUAAGAGUAGAGUCCAGGCAGUUUUGAAACUGCAGUCCUCAAUGCCUAUGAAGAUCCAAAUAUGUGGAUUAAGAAUAUAAGGAAAGAAAUCAUGAGAUUGCAAAUUCAGGAACACAACGUACUGGUUGUAUGAAUUUGACAAACUAUAACAAAUAUUUCUAUCAAUUUUUAUGUGCAAUCUGAAAAUACAGGUUCCAAAUCUUUCGUCACUAUCACUCGUCAAAAACUUCUGCUCCUGACUCAACAAAGACAACAUGCCUAUCCAUAUCAGAAGAUUAUAUUUUAUCCACCCCAGCAAAGUAUAGAAAGGCAGGGUAAUGAGGAGUCCUGCCACAUUUCAGGAAACAAUCAUAAAGUACAAUGCAGCAGCUUUUCCACUGUGAGCGUCAAAUAGACUCACUGAGAGUUAUCACGGCCAUCCGCUCUUUUUCUCCCUCAAUACAAUACAAAAACCUUCCACACCAAAAUGGAAGGCUAAAUGGAGAUAAGGAUCUUUGACCAAGAUUGGUCAAAGUCUGGGGUUUUAGAUCUCAAAACUUUUUAACCAAACUGACAAUCUAAAUUUCUCCCCAUUAUCAGCAAAAAAUUAGGAGCUUCAACAGCUGGAUCAUCUCCAUGGAGAAUAGUGCACACGGAAAAACUGGUAAUCCGGAAGGAUAACCUGCAAGCGCCGAAGCCAACUGUCUGCAGCUUGCAAUAGAGAAUCUUCUUGCUUGGAUUCAUGAGGUCCACAUGGACUCAAGAUUGACCCUUUCAGUUUGUAUGUGGGGAAGGAUAACCUGCAAGUGCCGAAGCCAACUGUCUGCAGCUUGCAAUAGAGAAUCUUCUUGCUCGGAUUCAUGAGGUCCACAUGGACUCAAGAUUGACCCUUUCAGUUUGUAUGUGGCAAGGCCAAAGACUGGUAACGAAAUUCUUGAGCAUGCAUUUACAUUGCCAAGAACUUUCCUGCCAGUUGCACCAUGGUAGCGUGGCUGAACUGUACUC